rnacentral:rRNA from 1 species
GCAGGCCUAACACAUGCAAGUCGAGCGGUAGCACAGAGAGCUUGCUCUCGGGUGACGAGCGGCGGACGGGUGAGUAAUGUCUGGGAAGCUGCCUGAUGGAGGGGGAUAACUACUGGAAACGGUAGCUAAUACCGCAUAAUGUCGCAAGACCAAAGUGGGGGGCCUUCGGGCCUCAUGCCAUCAGAUGUGCCCAGAUGGGAUUAGCUAGUAGGUGGGGUAACGGCUCACCUAGGCGACGAUCCCUAGCUGGUCUGAGAGGAUGACCAGCCACACUGGAACUGAGACACGGUCCAGACUCCUACGGGAGGCAGCAGUGGGGAAUAUUGCACAAUGGGCGCAAGCCUGAUGCAGCCAUGCCGCGUGUGUGAAGAAGGCCUUCGGGUUGUAAAGCACUUUCAGCGGGGAGGAAGGCGUUAAGGUUAAUAACCUUGGCGAUUGACGUUACCCGCAGAAGAAGCACCGGCUAACUCCGUGCCAGCAGCCGCGGUAAUACGGAGGGUGCAAGCGUUAAUCGGAAUUACUGGGCGUAAAGCGCACGCAGGCGGUCUGUCAAGUCGGAUGUGAAAUCCCCGGGCUCAACCUGGGAACUGCAUUCGAAACUGGCAGGCUAGAGUCUUGUAGAGGGGGGUAGAAUUCCAGGUGUAGCGGUGAAAUGCGUAGAGAUCUGGAGGAAUACCGGUGGCGAAGGCGGCCCCCUGGACAAAGACUGACGCUCAGGUGCGAAAGCGUGGGGAGCAAACAGGAUUAGAUACCCUGGUAGUCCACGCCGUAAACGAUGUCGAUUUGGAGGUUGUGCCCUUGAGGCGUGGCUUCCGGAGCUAACGCGUUAAAUCGACCGCCUGGGGAGUACGGCCGCAAGGUUAAAACUCAAAUGAAUUGACGGGGGCCCGCACAAGCGGUGGAGCAUGUGGUUUAAUUCGAUGCAACGCGAAGAACCUUACCUGGUCUUGACAUCCACAGAACUUUCCAGAGAUGGAUUGGUGCCUUCGGGAACUGUGAGACAGGUGCUGCAUGGCUGUCGUCAGCUCGUGUUGUGAAAUGUUGGGUUAAGUCCCGCAACGAGCGCAACCCUUAUCCUUUGUUGCCAGCGGUUCGGCCGGGAACUCAAAGGAGACUGCCAGUGAUAAACUGGAGGAAGGUGGGGAUGACGUCAAGUCAUCAUGGCCCUUACGACCAGGGCUACACACGUGCUACAAUGGCAUAUACAAAGAGAAGCGACCUCGCGAGAGCAAGCGGACCUCAUAAAGUAUGUCGUAGUCCGGAUUGGAGUCUGCAACUCGACUCCAUGAAGUCGGAAUCGCUAGUAAUCGUAGAUCAGAAUGCUACGGUGAAUACGUUCCCGGGCCUUGUACACACCGCCCGUCACACCAUGGGAGUGGGUUGCAAAAGAAGUAGGUAGCUUAACCUUCGGGAGGGCGCUUACCACUUUGUGAUUCAUGACUGGGGUGAAG